GUCUCUUUAAAGUGACCCCGUGGCUUCAAUGGUAACAGCCGAACCUGGGUGGUGUAUCUGGUCAUUUUUACUACAAGGAAAAGAUUUGAUGUUAGCAGCGAUGGCCGCACUGUUGCCCCGGGUCCUGUGUGGGAGUAGAGAGGCUGGCUUUGACAUGCAAUGCUACAUGCAAGAUGGCUCUCAGCUAAUAGGCAGACAAAUCCUUCAGCUUUAUUGCCCGGACUCAAGGGCUGCAGGUGCACAGGCCACAAAAGGGAGAGGAGGGGAGGGGGUUGGAGGAAGGGUAAGGAAAGAGAAUGGUCAGCCGGGAGAUAAGAGAGGACCUUUGCACCCGCCCAUCCUCACCCCGGACCCGGCCUUUACCCCUGCAACACCUCUCCGUUUGGCUCCACUGCUUCGCCACACGUGACAGGGGAAGGCAAACGGCGAGUGGUGCCGCCUGGCGCUACCAGGCUUCUGUGUGUGUGUGUGUGUGUGUGUGUGUGUGUGUGUGUGUGUGUGUGUGUGUGUGUGUGUGGCAGGGGACGGGGCAGGCGUGGCAGAGUGGCCAAGUGGCUGCAGCGGCCCUUUUCUUCUAGAGCAGCAGAGGAGCAGUAAUGACUAGGAGCUACAGCUGUGCCCACUGAGGCUUGCCUACACCUUUCCCUGCAGCGGCCCCUCCACCUCAUCUCGCCUCUGGCCUCCGCCGCCGAGGGAGGGAAGCUACGGAGUGGGAGGGUUCCGUCUUUUACUCCUACUUGCUCUACAACAGAACUAUGAAGAAUAGGUAUUUCCCAUUUAAGAAACACAGAUCAACUCUACUCAUACGUAGACUCUCUUCAUUCAUUGCAGAAAAAUGCGUGUCCCCUGUUCACAGGAUCCGUCCUCAAGGCGACAGUCCAAAACGGAAACGCACAAGGAGCAAGACUGUGGGUUCAGCGUCUUGCUCAAGGACACUUGGACGAAUGUGGCCGAACCUUGUGAUUAAGGGCAGACCCGCUCUGCAACGAGUCACAGCACCAAACUCUGAGUUUGUUGUAUUUGAGUUUAUCACUGUCCCUUAAUCUAAGGGGAAAUUAAGUGAAAGUUAUCUGAUUCAAUCUGGUGUGUAUAUGUGUGUGUUAUAAAAACUAAUUGUGUUCAAAGUGUUACUUGGCUGAUUGUCAAAGUCACUAAUUAUGAAUGUGUC
ensembl:lncRNA